CUGCGUGGAACACCUCCAGUCCUAAAGCUUGAGCCUCAGGAAAGCCUGUAAGAGAGCAUAUUUAUGUAAUAACGGCAAUCCAUGCGUCUGAAGUAGUUUUUAGUUUUCAUAAGGUUUUUAAAUAAGAUUUUUAUUUCACUUAAAUGAAUCUUCACAGUAAUCCCAUCAGGAAGGAAUAAAGCACCAGGACAACAAAUAGACCCUCUCUCUUAAGAACAGCCCGUUCUGCUAUUGGGUGACAGGUGUAUUAUCAGAAACCUGUGUUAUCAUAAGCCUCAUGUGAGAACUUUUAAUAGGGGAGGGAAAAAAGAAAAAAAAAGAACCCAAGUCCUGAAAAGCUUAGGACCUAAACAAAGAGGUGAACCUUAAACAAUGUCAGGAUUA